rnacentral:rRNA from 1 species
GACGAACGCUGGCGGCGUGCCUAAUACAUGCAAGUCGAACGCAUUUUCUUUCACCGUAGCUUGCUCCACCGAAAGAAAAUGAUUAGCAAACGGUUGAGUAACAGCUCUUUAACCUGCGCAACCGCGAGGGAUAACGCUUGGAAACAGGAUCUAAUACCCCAUAAUUCCAUUUACCGCGGGGUAAAUGGGUGAAAGGCGAUUUUCCGUCACUGAUGGAUGUACCCGCGGGGCAUUAGCUAGUUGGUGGGUUAACGGCCUAUCCAGGCUGCGAUGCAUAGCCGACCGGCGAGGGUGGUCGGCCAGACUGGGACUGAGACCCGGCACAGAGUGCUUCGGGAGGCAGCAGUGGGGCAUCUUCGGGCAUGGAUGCAAGUCUGAGCGAGAAACGCGGAGUCAGUGAAGAAGGUCUUCGGAUCGUAAAUCUCUGUUGUCAGAGAAGAACAAGCAUGAGAGUGUAAAGAUCCUCCCUUGACGGUAACUAAUAAGAAAGCAACGGCUAACUACGUG